AACGCAUCUUGCGCUCCUUGGUAUUCCGAGGAGCAUGCCUGUUUGAGUGUCAUUAAAUUCUCAACCUCUACCAGCUUUGCUGCUUGGUAUUGGCUUGGAUGUGGGGGGAUUUCUGCAGGCUCUUUCACAGAGUCAGCUCCCCUGAAAUGCAUUAGCGGUGACCUUGAUGGCCAUUGGUGUGAUAACUAUCUACGCCAUUGGAUGUCGCGCUGUUCGCUGCUGCUAGCAGUCCAUUGACUUGGACAAAGCAAAUUAUGACAAUUUUGACCUCAAAUCAGGUAGGACUACCCGCUGAACUUAA
rnacentral:misc_RNA from 1 species